AGUCGAACGGCAGCACGGAGAGCUUGCUCUCUGGUGGCGAGUGGCGAACGGGUGAGUAAUGCAUCGGAACGUACCGAGUAAUGGGGGAUAACUGUCCGAAAGGAUGGCUAAUACCGCAUACGCCCUGAGGGGGAAAGCGGGGGAUCUUAGUGACCUCGCGUUAUUUGAGCGGCCGAUGUUGGAUUAGCUAGUUGGUGGGGUAAAGGCCUACCAAGGCGACGAUCCAUAGCGGGUCUGAGAGGAUGAUCCGCCACAUUGGGACUGAGACACGGCCCAAACUCCUACGGGAGGCAGCAGUGGGGAAUUUUGGACAAUGGGGGGAACCCUGAUCCAGCCAUGCCGCGUGUCUGAAGAAGGCCUUCGGGUUGUAAAGGACUUUUGUUAGGGAAGAAAAGCCGGGUGCUAAUACCACCUGGUGCUGACGGUACCUAAAGAAUAAGCACCGGCUAACUACGUGCCAGCAGCCGCGGUAAUACGUAGGGUGCGAGCGUUAAUCGGAAUUACUGGGCGUAAAGCGAGCGCAGACGGUUAAUCAAGUCAGAUGUGAAAUCCCCGAGCUCAACUUGGGACGUGCAUUUGAAACUGGUUAACUAGAGUGUGUCAGAGGGAGGUAGAAUUCCACGUGUAGCAGUGAAAUGCGUAGAGAUGUGGAGGAAUACCGAUGGCGAAGGCAGCCUCCUGGGAUAACACUGACGUUCAUGCUCGAAAGCGUGGGUAGCAAACAGGAUUAGAUACCCUGGUAGUCCACGCCCUAAACGAUGACAAUUAGCUGUUGGGACACUAGAUGUUUUAGUAGCGAAGCUAACGCGUGAAAUUGUCCGCCUGGGGAGUACGGUCGCAAGAUUAAAACUCAAAGGAAUUGAC
rnacentral:rRNA from 1 species